ACGGGGUGCAGCAGGCGCGAAAACUUCACACUGGGGGGAACCCCGAUGAGGGAAAUCCUAGUGCUAGGACAUUUGUUCUAGCUUUUCUCAAGCGUAGAUAACUUGAAGAAUAAGGGCUGGGUAAGACGGGUGCCAGCCGCCGCGGUAAUACCUGCAGCCCAAGUGGUGGUCGAUUUUAUUGAGUCUAAAACGUUCGUAGCCGGUUUGGUAAAUCUUUGGGUAAAUCGGGAGGCUCAACUUUCCGACUUCCGAAGAGACUGCCAAACCUUGGUGACCGGGAGAGGCUAGAGGUACUUCCUGGGGUAGGGGUAAAAUCCUGUAAUCCUUAGAAGGACCAUCGGUGGCGAAGGCGUCUAGCUAGAACGGAUCCGACGGUGAGGGACGAAGCCCUGGGGUCGCGAAUACGGGAUUACAUACCCCGGUAGUCCAGCGUGUAAAACGCUGCCCGACUUGGUGUUGGAGGCCUUUCGGGGGCAAUUCAGUGCCCGGAGAGAACUUGUUGAAGUUCGGCUUACUUUGGGGAAGUUACGUCCGGAAAGGGAUUGAAACUUUAAAGGAUUGGGCCGGCGGGAGCCAC
rnacentral:rRNA from 1 species